rnacentral:rRNA from 1 species
CUAUACAUGCAGUCGAGCGGACCGACGGGAGCUUGCUCCCUUAGGUCAGCGGCGGACGGGUGAGUAACACGUGGGUAACCUGCCUGUAAGACUGGGAUAACUCCGGGAAACCGGGGCUAAUACCGGAUGCUUGAUUGAACCGCAUGGUUCAAUCAUAAAAGGGGGCUUUUAGCUACCACUUACAGAUGGACCCGCGGCGCAUUAGCUAGUUGGUGAGGUAACGGCUCACCAAGGCGACGAUGCGUAGCCGACCUGAGAGGGUGAUCGGCCACACUGGGACUGAAACACGGCCCAAACUCCUACGGGAGGCAGCAGUAGGGAAUCUUCCGCAAUGGACGAAAGUCUGACGGAACAACGCCGCGUGAGUGAUGAAGGUUUUCGGAUCGUAAAACUCUGUUGUUAGGGAAGAACAAGUACCGUUCGAAUAGGGCGGUACCUUGACGGUACCUAACCAGAAAGCCACGGCUAACUACGUGCCAGCAGCCGCGGUAAUACGUAGGUGGCAAGCGUUGUCCGGAAUUAUUGGGCGUAAAGCGCGCGCAGGCGGUUUCUUAAGUCUGAUGUGAAAGCCCCCGGCUCAACCGGGGAGGGUCAUUGGAAACUGGGGAACUUGAGUGCAGAAGAAGAAAGUGGAAUUCCACGUGUAGCGGUGAAAUGCGUAGAGAUGUGGAAGAACACCAGUGGCGAAAGCGACUCUCUGGUCUGUAACUGACGCUGAAGCGCGAAAGCGUGGGGAGCGAACAGGAUUAGAUACCCUGGUAGUCCACGCCGUAAACGAUGAGUGCUAAGUGUUAGAAGGUUUCCGCCCUUUAGUGCUGCAGCAAACGCAUUAAGCACUCCGCCUGGGGAGUACGGUCGCAAGACUGAAACUCAAAGGAAUUGACGGGGGCCCGCACAAGCGGUGGAGCAUGUGGUUUAAUUCGAAGCAACGCGAAGAACCUUACCAGGUCUUGACAUCCUCUGACAACCCUAAAAAUAGGGCUUCCCCUUCGGGGGGCAAAUGACAGGUGGUGCAUGG